rnacentral:rRNA from 1 species
UACGAAGGGGGCUAGCGUUGUUCGGAAUUACUGGGCGUAAAGCGCACGUAGGCGGACAUUUAAGUCAGGGGUGAAAUCCCGGGGCUCAACCCCGGAACUGCCUUUGAUACUGGGUGUCUUGAGUCCGGAAGAGGUGAGUGGAAUUGCGAGUGUAGAGGUGAAAUUCGUAGAUAUUCGCAAGAACACCAGUGGCGAAGGCGGCUCACUGGCCCGAUACUGACGCUGAGGCACGAAAGCGCGGGAGGCAAACAGG